rnacentral:lncRNA from 1 species
GGCCGCGGGCCCAGGCGCCGCUCUAGCCGCUCGGGCCGGGCUGUGCGCGCAACACCGCGGCCCCUCGCGGCCGCCCGGGGCCGGGCAGCGUCGCCAUCUUCCGCUCCGGGGGCCGCGCCCGGGAUGUAAGGCCGCUGCAGACCGAGAAGGGGCGCUUUACAAAGGCAUUCCACAUCAGUGAAGGGGGUCAAAGAAGUCAGAAGACCACAUCAGAUCCCCUGGAACUGAUAUUAACCGCAGCUCUGAGCUGUCAUGCUGCAGCUGGAAACUAAACCCAGUGACCAAAGGCUAACCGCACAGCAAGCAUUUGAAGGGCCGGUGGAAUGUCUCCCGUCAUUUCUGACCCAACUGCAGAAAUGCUAUAGUGGUGCGUCUACUGUCAUCACAGGGCCACCUAGAUUCAAGCAGAGGACCAAAGUCUUUAUCUCCAUGCGGAAAUGUGAAAAGUUAUAUUUGAAGAAGA